rnacentral:rRNA from 1 species
GACGAACGCUGGCGGCGUGCUUAACACAUGCAAGUCGAACGGUGAAGCUCCAGCUUGCUGAAGUGGAUCAGUGGCGAACGGGUGAGUAACACGUGAGCAACCUGCCCCAGACUCUGGAAUAAGCGCUGGAAACGGCGUCUAAUACUGGAUACGAGAUCAAGCCGCAUGGUUAUGGUCUGGAAAGUUUUUCGGUUUGGGAUGGGCUCGCGGCCUAUCAGCUUGUUGGUGAGGUAAUGGCUCACCAAGGCGACGACGGGUAGCCGGCCUGAGAGGGCGACCGGCCACACUGGGACUGAGACACGGCCCAGACUCCUACGGGAGGCAGCAGUGGGGAAUAUUGCACAAUGGGCGAAAGCCUGAUGCAGCGACGCCGCGUGAGGGAUGACGGCCUUCGGGUUGUAAACCUCUUUCAGCAGGGAAGAAGCGAAAGUGACGGUACCUGCAGAAGAAGCACCGGCUAACUACGUG